AUAACAUGACGAUGGCUCAUGCCGUUGUCUUCAAAGGCGCAAGUCGCCAGAAGAGGGAUCCGCGGCCGAUUAGCUAGUUGGCGAGGUAAUGGCUCACCAAGGCAUUGAUCGGUAGCCGGACUGAGAGGUUGGCCGGCCACACUGGAACUGAGACACGGUCCAGACUCCUACGGGAGGCAGCAGUGGGGAAUCUUGCACAAUGGACGAAAGUCUGAUGCAGCAACGCCGCGUGGGGGAUUGAAGCUUUUCGGAGUGUAAACCCCUUUCGACCCGGAAGAAAGCCCGCAAGGGUUUGACGGUACGGGUAUAAGAAGCCCCGGUUAACUACGUGCCAGCAGCCGCGGUAAAACGGUAGGGGGCCAGCGUUGCUCGGAAUUACUGGGCGUCACAGGGCCCGUAGGCGGUGUGGCAAAGUUGGUAGUGAAUCUCUGGGGCUUAACCCAGAGGUGUUGCCAAAACUGGCGUGCUAAAGUGUGAGAGAGG
rnacentral:rRNA from 1 species